CUUGAUAGCUAUAAGAGGUCCAGCCUGCCCAGUGAUAAAUUCAACGGCCGCGGUAUCCUAACCGUGCGAAGGUAGCAUAAUCACUUGUUCUUUAAAUAGGGACUCGUAUCAACGGCAUCACGAGGGUUACACUGUCUCCUCUUUCCAAUCAGUGAAACUGAUCUUCCCGUGAAGAAGCGGGAAUGAACUAAUAAGACGAGAAGACCCCAUGGAGCUUUAAACCUCACAGCAACUCUAACAUAUAUUUCCCCAUAACCCGCAGAGCAAUGCUAGUCGGUUUUAGGUUGGGGUGACCGCGGAGCAAAAACUACCCUCCACGACGAACAGAACUAAAUCUUUAUCCAAGAGCAACCACUCUAAGAACUAGCACACUAACGUAUCAUGACCCGAUAAUCCGAUCAACGGACCA
rnacentral:rRNA from 1 species